GACGAACGCUGGCGGCGUGCUUAACACAUGCAAGUCGAACGGUGAAGCGCCUUCCUUUUUGGUGGGUGUGGAUGAGUGGCGAACGGGUGAGUAACACGUGAGUAACCUGCCCCCUUCUUCUGGAUAACCGCAUGAAAGUGUGGCUAAUACGGGAUAUUCUGGGUCUGUCGCAUGAUGGGUCUGGGAAAGAUAUUGUUUCGGUGGGGGAUGGGCUCGCGGCCUAUCAGCUUGUUGGUGGGGUGAUGGACUACCAAGGCGGUGACGGGUAGCCGGCCUGGGAGGGUGGACGGUCACACUGGGACUGAGACACGGCCCGGACUCGUACGUGAGGCAGCAGUGGGGAAUAUUGGACAGUGGGCGCAAGCCUGAUGCAGCGGCGCCGCGUGAGGGAUGGAGGCCUUCGGGUUGUGAACCUCUUUCGACAGUGAAGCAGGCCUGCCUCGUUUGUGGGUGGGUUGACGGUAGCUGGAUAAGAAGCGCCGGCUAACUACGUG
rnacentral:rRNA from 1 species